GAUGAACGCUGGCGGCGUGCCUAAUACAUGCAAGUCGAGCGAACGGACGAGAAGCUUGCUUCUCUGAUGUUAGCGGCGGACGGGUGAGUAACACGUGGAUAACCUACCUAUAAGACUGGGAUAACUUCGGGAAACCGGAGCUAAUACCGGAUAAUAUUUUGAACCGCAUGGUUCAAAAGUGAAAGACGGUCUUGCUGUCAUUUAUAGAUGGAUCCGCGCUGCAUUAGCUAGUUGGUAAGGUAACGGCUUACCAAGGCAACGAUGCAUAGCCGACCUGAGAGGGUGAUCGGCCACACUGGAACUGAGACACGGUCCAGACUCCUACGGGAGGCAGCAGUAGGGAAUCUUCCGCAAAGGGCGAAAGCCUGACGGAGCAACGCCGCGUGAGUGAUGAAGGUCUUCGGAUCGUAAAACUCUGUUAUUAGGGAAGAACAUAUGUGUAAGUAACUGUGCACAUCUUGACGGUACCUAAUCAGAAAGCCACGGCUAACUACGUG
rnacentral:rRNA from 1 species